rnacentral:lncRNA from 1 species
GGAAGGACGGGGAAGAGAGGUUUAACAGGGAAGGAUGAAAAGGAUACAUUUGAAAGAACAUAGGAGGUAAAAUGGUCCCGACUUGACCAUAGGUUGGGGAAAGCAAGGGGUGGAUAUUUUCAUUGCUCCUGUUUUGUGCGUUUUCUUCAGGGACAAUUGACAACAGGGAAGCUAUCGGGAUCAUUGUUGCUGCCCCCCACCCCCACCGCAGAUAUUUUGUUGUGGAAGAAUGACAAACAGGAUGCCUCUGGGGCAUGUUGAAUUACGCAGAGCCUUGGGAUGAUUCCACAGUGGAGUGGGUCAGUGACUGGUAGUUGUGUGAAUCUGGAACUUGGCGAAGACGUGGGCUGAGACGUCUCCUUCAACUGAAAGCUUCGCAGUUUGCUCUCAGAAGCACACACCAUCUGCUCUGAGGAUCUUCCGUUGACAGCCUGGCCGGGGUCAUGCUAGGAUUCAGAAAUUGCUGAGUGUGAAAGGGGCCUGAGGGAUGGGUCAGAAGAGGGCAUUGGCGGCAAGGAUCAAGAGUUUCCACGGAAUAAUCUCAACACAAGCAGUUCGGGCGAGGGUGGUGGAUUUUAGUACAACUCCUUGUCAGUCACACCUUGCCCUGCAGGCAGCCUCUGGGGACUUGCGUCAGACCCAUGGAGAAGCAGUAACAGUGAUCAAAUAUUAAAACUUCAUUAAAG